UACCUGAUUUUGUGUGUGUGUGUGCUACAAUUUGCAUACGAUGCGAUCAAGUGCAGCCCAUUAAUGGAGCCCUGGAAGCUUUUAAAGAUGAUUAAUUGCAACCAGUCCCUGCAUAAUUCAUAAUUACCAGACUGCACUAAAACACAUAUAUAAAAAAAUAAGGGGACAUCAAAUAAAACGCGCGGUGUGCAUUGUGUGAGGGUGACUGUGACGAAAGAGAGGGAGAUAGAGAGACACUAAUGGAGGGAGGGAAGAGGAAGAGGAGGAGGAGGGAGGGAGGGAGCACUCAUUGGGAUGCACACGACGACCUGCCCUCUUUCAGGCAGCAGCCAUGCUUUGCAGCACUGCUCUCGCGCUCACCGGGAGCUUCAAUAUACACCGCCGGGAAUACAUAUUUUAGCCUGCAGUAAUGCUCGUAACACUGGUGCAAACGGACGGAUAACGCGCCGACGCCGCUUUGUUGCAACCUGAAGAGGCUGGACUUUUACACUUUGAACGGAUCUUUUUCUUCGACAUUUUCUUCUAGGAUUCAAGCAGCAAGAUUUAUGCAUUUUUGGAUUAGAGUCCCUGUCGAAUGGAAUGCAGCAAGAGGAUCGUGCGCGCGCGCACACACGCGCGCACACACACACACACACACACACACACACACACACACACACACACACACACACACACACACACACACACACACACACACACACAUCCGGUCUGCGGGUUGCGUCUCUCCGUGUUCACAGCGGACCUUGAUUUAAUGUCUUACAAUUAAGGCACGCGGUGAAUGCCAAGAGAUGAUCCUCCUGGUCUUCUAUCGGAAUUUAUUCAUGUCUUGUACCGUCUAAUUCAAAUAAAUAUGUUUAAAAAGCA